rnacentral:sRNA from 1 species
UUUUUAAUCCUUGGGGAAGUAGUUAUCUCGUGUGUCUUCCCCAACACACUCUCUCUCUUUCUGUCUCUGACAGGCCCAGUUUGAGAUGCCUUAUGUGGUACGGCUGCACAACUUCCACCAGCUCUCUGCACCCCAGCCCUGUUUCACCUUCAGCCAUCCCAACAGAGAUCCUAUGAUUGACAACAACCGCUAUUGCACCUUGGAGUUUCCUGUGGAGGUGAACACAGUACUACAUGGCUUUGCCGGCUACUUUGAGACUGUGCUUUAUCAGGACAUCACUCUGAGUGAGUGUCUAUGGUAGUAGAUGGCAGAGUAUGAGGGUGUGCUGCCUGGGCAGCUUAUAUGUACAUGUGUCAUUUAGAUUUAUGGGGGGCCCAGUGCUCAGUGAAUGGAGAUCUUUGUUUGUGUGAUUAGAGAAGAGACCCUCUUCAACAUAGGCAAAAGGCACAGCCAUGGACACCUCUGUUUUUUCAUUACUUUGUCCACACAGGUAUCCGUCCAGAGACUCACUCUCCUGGGAUGUUCUCAUGGUUUCCCAUCCUCUUCCCUAUUAAGGUAGGAACUGCUUUUAAGAUUCUGUAGUUAAGGAGUAACCUUUG